rnacentral:lncRNA from 1 species
GUUAGAGCCUGACUUACCUACUGAUCUUUGUGCUGGCAUUAAAGAAGAUGGGAGGACUACUGUGACUGGUAGGCCAACCAGAAUCAGGUAAUUGUUGGAGAAAGAUGGCUUGGAAAUCUAUCAAUUCCCUGGUAAUCUGCAGGCCACUGUAGCAUAGAGUGUCUUCUUGGGAAUAACGAAAUGGCACCUGCUCCAAAUGGUUCCCAUGGGAACCUAGAGAAGGACUUUCCCUAUAUUCCCCACCUCUUUGGGCUUCAGCAAAAGAAAAUGGACCUCAAGGGAGUCUUCAAGAGCUGCUUCAAAAUUUACUGUUCAUCAAAGCACUUGCUGAAGACUGGCUUCGUGUCAGAGGCUGUGCUGAAUGUUAUGGAGAAGGAGGUGAAGGAGAUUCGGUGCUUACCAUGA